rnacentral:tRNA from 1 species
UCCCUGGUGGCUCAGAGGAUAAAGCAUCUGCCUGCAAAGCAGGAGACCCAAGUUCAAUCGCUGGUUUGGAAA